AUCCAGCUGACGAGUCUCAAGUAGGACGAAACGCGCGUCAAACUGGAU
rfam:Schistosoma rodhaini strain Burundi genome assembly, scaffold: SROB_scaffold0006298